rnacentral:rRNA from 1 species
GACGAACGCUGGCGGCGUGCUUAACACAUGCAAGUCGAACGGAAAGGCCCUGCUUUUGUGGGGUGCUCGAGUGGCGAACGGGUGAGUAACACGUGAGUAACCUGCCCUUGACUUUGGGAUAACUUUAGGAAACUGGUGCUAAUACCGGAUAGGAGCUCCUGUUGCAUGGUGGGGGUUGGAAAGUUUCGGCGGUUGGGGAUGGACUCGCGGCUUAUCAGCUUGUUGGUGGGGUAGUGGCUUACCAAGGCUUUGACGGGUAGCCGGCCUGAGAGGGUGACCGGCAUAUCUAGAACUACUAUACGGCCCAGACUCCUACGGGUGGCAGCAGUGGGGAAAAUUGCAAUAUGGGCGGAAGCCUGAUGCAGCAACGCCGCGUGCGGGAUGACGGCCUUCGGGUUGUAAACCGCUUUCGCCUGUGACGAAGCGUGAGUGACGGUAAUGGGUAAAGAAGCACCGGCUAACUACGUG